rnacentral:lncRNA from 1 species
CCCGCCGCCCCAAGUUAGCCGGAGUUGCUCGUGGCUGCGCGCGGUACUCGGCUCGGCUCGGCUCGGCUCGACUCUGCUCCGGGUCUGUCUGCUCUGACGCUGGAUCCUUGGGAAUCCCGAGGACUCUGCUGCCUUCCAGCACACACGGAGGAUGGCUCAGGACAUGCUUCUGCCUCCCAAGAGCCUCCUUGUCUGUGACCAGCUGGAAGGAGAGAGCCAGGUCAGAACUCUGGCCCCCCGGGAGUGAGCCUGCUGCUGGCCUGCUGGGAUGUGUCUUAGUGCAGCCCUCCCCAGCGAUGUCGCUGACCUGGGCCGAGGCACCCAGUCUUUACUCUGGCUGUCGGGAGAACCUUUCCUUCACUGCCAGCCCCAGGGCUCUGAACAGUGGCUAAGCUUCUCAGGGCUGGCUCUUCAGAGAUGCGCUGCGCCUUCAGGAGGACUGUAGAA